GACGAACGCUGGCGGCGUGCUUAACACAUGCAAGUCGAACGGUAAGGCCCUUCGGGGUACACGAGUGGCGAACGGGUGAGUAACACGUGGGUGAUCUGCCCUGCACUUCGGGAUAAGCCUGGGAAACUGGGUCUAAUACCGGAUAGGACCACUGCCUGCAUGGGUGGCGGUGGAAAGCUUUUGCGGUGUGGGAUGGGCCCGCGGCCUAUCAGCUUGUUGGUGGUGAUGGCCUACCAAGGCGACGACGGGUAGCCGGCCUGAGAGGGUGACCGGCCACACUGGGACGGAGAUACGGCCCAGACUCCUACGGGAGGCAGCAGUGGGGAAUAUUGCACAAUGGGCGCAAGCCUGAUGCAGCGACGCCGCGUGAGGGAUGACGGCCUUCGGGUUGUAAACCUCUUUCAGCACCGACGAAGCGCAAGUGACGGUAGGUGCAGAAGAAGGACCGGCCAACUACGUGCCAGCCGCCGCCGUAA
rnacentral:rRNA from 1 species